GACGAACGCUGGCGGCGUGCUUAACACAUGCAAGUCGAACGGAAAGGCCCUGCUUUUGUGGGGUGCUCGAGUGGCGAACGGGUGAGUAACACGUGAGUAACCUGCCCUUGACUUUGGGAUAACUUCAGGAAACUGGGGCUAAUACCGGAUAGGAGCUCCUGCUGCAUGGUGGGGGUUGGAAAGUCUCGGCGGUUGGGGAUGGACUCGCGGCUUAUCAGCUUGUUGGUGGGGUAGUGGCUUACCAAGGCUUUGACGGGUAGCCGGCCUGAGAGGGUGACCGGCCACAUUGGGACUGAGAUACGGCCCAGACUCCUACGGGAGGCAGCAGUGGGGAAUAUUGCACAAUGGGCGGAAGCCUGAUGCAGCAACGCCGCGUGCGGGAUGACGGCCUUCGGGUUGUAAACCGCUUUCGCCUGUGACGAAGCGUGAGUGAUGGUAAUGGGUAAAGAAGCACCGGCUAACUACGUG
rnacentral:rRNA from 1 species